rnacentral:rRNA from 1 species
AUUGAACGCUGGCGGCAGGCCUAACACAUGCAAGUCGAACGAGUGGCGGACGGGUGAGUAAUGUCUGGGAAACUGCCCGAUGGAGGGGGAUAACUACUGGAAACGGUAGCUAAUACCGCAUACCAUCGGAUGUGCCCAGAUGGGAUUAGCUAGUAGGUGGGGUAAAGGCUCACCUAGGCGACGAUCCCUAGCUGGUCUGAGAGGAUGACCAGCCACACUGGGACGGAGACACGGUCCAGACUCCGACGGGAGGCAGGAGGGGGGAAUAUUGCACAAUGGGCGCAAGCCUGAGGCAGCCACGCCGCGUGUAUGAAGAAGGCCUUCGGGUUGUAAAGUACUUGCAGCGGGGAGGCGUUACCCGCAGAAGAAGCACCGGCUAACUCCGUGCCAGCAGCCGCGGUAAUAC